CUUCCUACGGGAGGCAGCAGUGGGGAAUAUUGGGCAAUGGACGCAAGUCUGACCCAGCAACGCCGCGUGAAGGAAGAAGGCUUUCGGGUUGUAAACUUCUUUUAAGGGGGAAGAGCAGAAGACGGUACCCCUUGAAUAAGCCACGGCUAACUACGUGCCAGCAGCCGCGGUAAUACGUAGGUGGCAAGCGUUGUCCGGAUUUACUGGGUGUAAAGGGCGUGCAGCCGGAGAGACAAGUCAGAUGUGAAAUCCACGGGCUAAACCCGUGAACUGCAUUUGAAACUGUCAGUCU
rnacentral:rRNA from 1 species